CUUUUAAUGAGAGUUUGAUCCUGGCUCAGGACGAACGCUGGCGGCGUGCCUAAUACAUGCAAGUAGAACGCUGAUGUUUGGUGUUUACACUAGACUGAUGAGUUGCGAACGGGUG
rnacentral:rRNA from 1 species